UCGGGCGUGGAUAAUAAUCGGGUAUUAAGUUGUCUACCGAAGCAGUGGGAUCAUUGAUAUGAUCGGUAGGGGAGCAUUCCAGUCAGCGUCGAAGGCGUACCGUGAGGUAUUCUGGAGCGUCUGGAAAAGCAAAUGUAGGUAUAAGUAACGAUAAAGGGGGCGGGAAACCCCCUCGCCGAAAGACUAAGGUUUCCUGAUCAACGCUAAUCGGAUCAGGGUCAGUCGGGUCCUAAGGCUCAGCCGAACGGCGAUGCCGAUGGCAGAAACGGUUAAUAUUCCGUUACUACCUUCAGGAGUGACGUGGAGACGCAGUAGUGACAGUGCCGCCAUCUGACGGAAUAGAUGGUUGAAGGGUGUAGGAGUCGAUCAUGGCAGGCAAAUCCACCAUGAGAUCCGAACCUGAUAGUAUGCCGCGUCCUUCGGGACAAGGCAAUAGUGCGCGUAAGCAUGCUGCCGAGAAAAUCCGCUAAACUUAAUCCUGCAGGUACCCGUACCGCAAACGGACACACGUAGUCGGGAUGAAUAUUCUAAGGCGCUUGAGUGAUUCACGGUUAAGGAACUAGGCAAACUGACCCUGUAACUUCGGGAUAAAGGGUCCCUACCCUUUUAUGGGAGGGCGCAGAGAAUCGGUCCAGGCAACUGUUUAACAAAAACACAGGGCUGUGCCAAAUCGAAAGAUCCAGUAUACAGCCUGACACCUGCCCGGUGCUGGAAGGUUAAGAGGAGAUGUCAUCGAUAAGAGAAGCGUUGAAUUGAAGCCCCAGUAAACGGCGGCCGUAACUAUAACGGUCCUAAGGUAGCGAAAUUCCUUGUCGGGUAAGUUCCGACCUGCACGAAUGGUGUAAUGAUCUGGACGCUGUCUCAACCGUGAGCUCAGUGAAAUUGUAGUAUCGGUGAAGAUGCCGAUUACCCGCGAUGGGACGAAAAGACCCCGUGAACCUUUACUAUAGCUUAUCAUUGAAUCUGGGCACGUGAUGUGUAGGAUAGGUCGGAGGCUUUGAAGCAGGUACGCCAGUAUUUGUGGAGCCGCUGUUGAAAUACGACCCUUUAUUUGUUUGGAUUCUAACCCGUGGAUACGGGGACAUUGAUUGGUGGGUAGUUUGACUGGGGUGGUCGCCUCCAAAAGCGUAACGGAGGCUUCUAAAGGUGCCCUCCGGCCGAUUGGUAACCGGCCUUAGAGUGUAAUGGCAUAAGGGCGCUUGACUGGGAGACUGACAAGUCGAUCAGGUAGGAAACUAGAGCAUAGUGAUCCGGUGUUUCCGUAUGGA
rnacentral:rRNA from 1 species